rnacentral:lncRNA from 1 species
AUGUGUAAUUAUGCAAACUCCAUCAGUGAUUCCCUGAUGUUGUUUCUCACCAAUUUUCUCACAGACAUGAAGACAGAAGAGAGGUUCUUGUGAACACAUUUGAACAGGGAAAAGAUUGAAAUCAAAUGCCCAGAAGUUCCAAGGAAGAGUAAAAAUAGAAGCCAGAGUGGCAGAGGGAACCAUUAUGCAGUGCGUGGCCCUCAUUCACGAUGCUUACAGUAGCUGAUUUAUUAGAAGAUAGAAAAGAAAAUUGAUUUACAAAUGGUCUUGGGAAGGGGAAACGGAUGGAAUAAAUGAGCUGAGACUAUGACAUGAGCUACACCAAGGUCUCAGUGUGCCUUCUCAAAAGAAUAAAAGAAUCAAGAUGCAGUCUCACUAUUUGGGAGGUGUUGAAGGAGAUGCAUACAGCUGGCAAGGCCAAGGGAAGAUGCUGCUGUAUCUCCUACCAGUCCACUCCAACCAGGAGCCAGGCUGGAGCUGAAAACCACAAAGGGCAAGGUCACCAUAGCUGCAAAGGUCACAGAUGUCAGCCCAAGCUGAUCCAGAAGGCAGGCAUCACAGUUUCCACCACUGCAACCAGCUCUGACCAAACAAGACUCCCAGGGUUCUGGGAUCUACCAGAGGAAAGGAGAGGAGAGCCUGAGAUGAAAUUUUGAACUGGACUCUAGUGAGUUAAUUAUCCUGAACCCACUGAUCAGUCUCAAGAGUGGGCUGAAUAUUCUGAGAAUGUCUGCCAGAGGGUUGCUAGAGUGUCAGAGACAGAAAUUCAGGGCUGUUUUAGAAAUAAAUACAAGUCUACUUAUUUUUAUCCAUGUCUG